UAAUACUGAGGGUGCGAGCGUUAAUCGGAAUUACUGGGCGUAAAGCGCGCGUAGGCGGUCUGGUCAGUCAGAUGUGAAAGCCCCGGGCUUAACCUGGGAACUGCAUUUGAAACUGCCAGACUAGAGUGUGGGAGAGGGAAGUGGAAUUCCGCGUGGAGCGGUGAAAUGCGUAGAGAUGCGGAGGAACACCAGUGGCGAAGGCGACUUCCUGGACCAACACUGACGCUCAGGUGCGAAAGCGUGGGGAGCAAACAGGAUUAGAUACCCUGGUAGUCCACGCCGUAAACGAUGUCUACUAGCCGUUGGGGAGCUUGUCUCCAUAGUGGCGCAGCUAACGCGAUAAGUAGACCGCCUGGGGAGUACGGUCGCAAGACUA
rnacentral:rRNA from 1 species